AAAGCUCCCCACCGAUUUUUACCUCACGCUCAGGGACGGCUGAGGGAGGCAGGAUCUCGCAGGAGACGUUCACAAACCGAGCUGAGAGCUCAGCAUCCUCAUGGACAAACAGAGAUGUGAUUGCCCCUCGUUAGCAUCUCCUUUCAAACUUCAGGUGUCUCCAAUGCCAUUUAAGAAGAGAGGAACUAGAAAACCAAGACAAUGGAAAUAAUGAGGAUAAAGAAAGCAAGGAGGCAAUGAAGACAUGGGGUAUGAGCAAGACAGCAAGCUUGAUAUAACAUCAAAAUUAGACCCAAGAUCAGAAAGUCCACAGGCAAGAAAAAUUCAGUUGAAUUCCAGUUACCACCAGCCAUAGUCACAGCAAUUACAGGUCAAAAAUAAAAAGGCAGAAUGAUGUUUUUUUUUCCUCAGCAGUAAAAAUGUCAUGUAAGGAGAAUCACCACCCAAGAAGGUAUGUCUGUCAGCUGACAGUGGCUUUGUUGUUCUUAAUCACAACCCAUACGCUUUUGGUACAGACCUGGCAGGUUUACAAUCUAAACCAAAGCUGCCUAAAAAAAAUCAAUAGAAAUUCUCUUGCUGAUUGUGGGGCAAGUUCCUCUGAGACGGUAUAAAGCAGGAGAAAGAACAUCUUAUGAAA